rnacentral:rRNA from 1 species
AGCCAUGCGAGUCGAAUGUAGCAAUACAUGGCGUACUGCUCAGUAACACGUGGAUAACCUACCCUUGAGUUGGGAAUAAACCCGGGAAACUGGGUAUAAUACCCGAUAGAUCUCGACUGCUGGAAUGCAUCGAGAUCCAAAGCUCCGGCGCUCAAGGAUGGAUCUGCGGCCUAUCAGGUAGUAGUGGGUGUAGCGUACCUACUAGCCUACGACGGGUACGGGUUGUGAGAGCAAGAGCCCGGAGAUGGAUUCUGAGACACGAAUCCAGGCCCUACGGGGUGCAGCAGGCGCGAAAACUUUACAAUGCUGGAAACAGCGAUAAGGGGACCUCGAGUGCCAGGUUACAAAUCUGGCUGUCGUGAUGCCUAAAAAGCAUUGCAUAGCAAGGGCCGGGCAAGACCGGUGCCAGCCGCCGCGGUAACACCGGCGGCUCGAGUGGUAACCGUUAUUAUUGGGUCUAAAGGGUCUGUAGCCGGCCGGAUAAGUCUCUUGGGAAAUCUGGCAGCUUAACUGUCAGGCUUUCAGGAGAUACUGUCUGGCUCGAGGCCGGGAGAGGUGAGAGGUACUUCAGGGGUAGGGGUGAAAUCUUGUAAUCCUUGAAGGACCACCAGUGGCGAAGGCGUCUCACCAGAACGGACCUGACGGCAAGGGACGAAAGCUAGGGGCACGAACCGGAUUAGAUACCCGGGUAGUCCUAGCCGUAAACGAUACUCGCUAGGUGUCGGCCACGGUGCGACCGUGGUCGGUGCCGUAGGGAAAUCCGUGAAACGUGCCG